GGCCGCUGUAUUGUGUUUUCAAAACUUGUAAAGUAAAAAGUGGAAAACUUUAUUUCGAACCAUAUAGUUUUACAUUUCAGUUUACCAAAUUCCUCAGCCAUUUCCCGAUGAAAUUAAUGCUAAACAGAAACUAUUUUUAAUUCUAAGUCUGGCGAAAGAGUCAUUGUGUGAUUGUGUUUAUAUGCCAAGUAGAAAUCGAGGAAAC